rnacentral:tRNA from 1 species
GCAGAUUUAGCUCAGUGGUGCCAGUGCCUGCCUGGCAAGCACGAAGUCCUGAGUUUGAUCCCCAGUUCUGCA